rnacentral:rRNA from 1 species
UACGUAGGGGGCAAGCGUUGUCCGGAUUUAUUGGGCGUAAAGAGCGUGUAGGCGGAUAUUUAAGUCAGGGGUGAAAUCCCGGGGCUCAACCCCGGAACUGCCUUUGAUACUGGGUAUCUCGAGUCCGAGAGAGGUGAGUGGAAUUCCGAGUGUAGAGGUGAAAUUCGUAGAUAUUCGGAGGAACACCAGUGGCGAAGGCGGCUCACUGGCUCGGUACUGACGCUGAGACGCGAAAGCGUGGGGAGCGAACAGG